rfam:Fistulina hepatica ATCC 64428 unplaced genomic scaffold FISHEscaffold_254, whole genome shotgun sequence.
GCCCGCCUAGCUCAAUCGGAUAGAGCGUCAGACUCUUACUUAUAACCUAAAUGUGUUAGGAGUAUCUGAAGGCUGCGAGUUCGACCCUCGCGGUGGGCU